GACGAGUCUCACGAACGUUAUUCGGAAUUACUGGGCUUAAAGGGUGCGUAGGCGGUGAAGUAAGUCGGAUGUGAAAUACCUUAGCUUAACUAGGGAACUGCACUCGAUACCACUUUGCUAGAGUAAGACAGAGGUGAGUGGAACUGAGGGUGGAGCGGUGAAAUGCGUUGAUAUCCUCAGGAACACCGGUGGCGAAGGCGACUCACUGGGUCUUUACUGACGCUGAUGCACGAAAGCGUGGGGAGCAAACAGG
rnacentral:rRNA from 1 species